rnacentral:rRNA from 1 species
UACGGAGGGUGCAAGCGUUAAUCGGAAUUGCUGGGCGUAAAGCGUGCGUAGGCGGUUCGUUAAGUCUGUUGUGAAAGCCCCGGGCUCAACCUGGGAAUGGCAAUGGAUACUGGCGAGCUAGAGUGUGUCAGAGGAUGGUGGAAUUCCCGGUGUAGCGGUGAAAUGCGCAGAUAUCAGGAAGAACACCCGUGGCGAAGGCGGCUCUCUGGGACGGUACUGACGCUGAGACGCGAAAGCGUGGGGAGCGAACAGG